AUUGAUUUCUUGAACUUCCAGUAAUGCCUCCACCAACAUCUUCUGAAGAACUGAAGCAAGAAGAAAAGGAUAGGUAGAAAGGGAGGAGUACAAGCAGGUCUAAAUCUUUGAACUCCUUACCCAACAUCGUUGUGGAAAUAACUUCAUCAGGACAACAGAGAUUCAAGAAGUUGGGUCAGCACUAUGUUAUAAAGGGUUGCCGAUUACUGACGCUGGCUGACCAGACCAGUUUAUCAAGAUAAUAAUGUGCUUCUGGCAUGUUUGGAAAUGCUGUUUACAAUGAAUAAACAUCUCAAGGAAUAACCUGAAGGGAAGUGAUUGACAAGAUGAAGAUUGUUUAUUCUACUUCCAACUAUCAGAAUAUUAACAUGACUGAAUUAGCAGAAGCUUCAGCUGAAACUACAGUAAGAGUAUUAAAUCUCAUGUAACAAUCUCUCUCUUGCUUUUCCAGCUUGAAAAUAAAUAUGACAUAACAGAAAAUCAUGAGUAACAGGGAAGAGGUCAGCCAUAAAUUCUUCAACAAUGAGCUGAAAACAAUGAAAUUACUGGAAAGCUUUGACUUUGCUAAUGCAAGUGUGAGGAGACACUUCCCACUAGUGUGGAUGACAGCAGAUACAAUCCUACUUAAAAACUCAGCGCCAUCCGGGAUAAAGCAGCUCAGAUGAUUGGCUCAUUUGUUAAACAUCAGAUACCUCUCCCACAAGAACUUCAUGACUGAUGUGUGUAUGAUCUAGAAAAUGCAUGAUGGCAAUGCACCAAAACUAUUUUGAGAUCUUUGGAUUCCAAACUUGCAAUUUUUACCACACAGGAAGAUAAUGGGCUCAAAUUCAAAUUCAAACUCAAUAACUGGAGCUCCUUCCCAGCUUGGAAAUACUCCUCAAAGCCACUAGCACUAUGUAUUGGAGCUCUAUUGUGACUGUGAUCUUCAUCACUGGAGAGAUGCCGAAGCCAGAGAUAUAGAAGUCUUCAUUCAUCAUGACAAGCAGGUAUUCUCCUAGAGGCCCAAUUAGUAGGGUCUCCCAAACUCAAAGUACGUCAUAUUUUAUACCCGUAAGAUCCAAGGUAACAGCAGGUAAUUCAAUGCGAUUUUAAUAGUUAAAAUGACAAUAUUUACUUCAAUCAUUCUGAGUCUGACAAUGCUUCAGUAAGUUACAUGUCUACAUAGGGAAACAGCUUUGAAUGUUCAAACACCUUUGCUGGGACAAAGCCAUUUACAAGGAAGUUCUAAAGGCUUCUCAGAAUUCCAAACUCCAAUAGUAAUAUUGUGAGGCUGGACUCUGUGUAUACAAAUAACCUAACCAUUGAUGUUACAAAUAUGCCUGUGACCAUAUUUGAUGUGUAAAGUGACAAAAUGUAUCUUGUUUGCAAGCUUCCUUGAAUUCAAUCAUAAUGGUUCAAAAUAACUUGGCCCAUGUUGUCUUUCUGGAUGCAGGCCACAAUCCAAUUGUCUUAUGUUUGGCUGAUGGUAACUUCACUUUACAAACUAGAUCUCUUGAGCAGCCAGCCCCCUGUGGGUCAGCAGCAUUUGCUCUGUAGAGAGUGCUAUUGCUUUGCAAAGCUGUCCUUUUAACUUCAAGCUGAUUGCUGCUUCCAGUUUACAUUAGGAACUGAACAAUAGUUCUUGAUUGAAUCUGCAAUUGGUUGUGCUAUAUUCACAUCAUACCAUAACUCUGGAAUCCCUAACUCUCUCUACCUUUAACACCUGGAUGGACAUCAGCCAGUGCUGGAAGAAGAACAAGGAUACCCAGUGUCUGCAGAAUAUGAGUCAAAAACUGUACAUGAGUCUGAAGACCCACAGUCAGUGUUUUCAGGCCAGCUUCUUCUCUUCUGAGAUCAGAUUACUAAACAGUUCAUAACCCAUGAACAUGAUCUCAUUUUUCAUCUUUUGCACUAUUUAUAACUUCUGCAAUUUGCAGUUAUUUUAUGAAAUUUCUUGCCGCAAAACAAAUCUUAUCAAAAUGUCUUUUAUUAUAAACCUGAUUCAGAUUCUGAGUAAGAUGAGCAAGAAGAAGAACAUGGCUAGGAGAUGAUGUCCCUGCUUAACAUGCACAGCCUCAACUCCAAACUGAGCCAAGGAGUUAGGCAUCCAUUCUCCCGAAGAUGAGGAAUAUCAAAUUUUUAAGAAAGCUUUAUGACAUCAGUUUACCAAAGUAAGAUGUCCCUUUCCACACUAUAAUCCUUCAGCUUUCCAAAGAUAAAAAGAAUGGGCAUUGUUUGGAACUCCAGCAGUGACUAAAUGUCUCUUUAAUGGCUUUCAGUCAAUUUGGCUGUACUUUAUAAAACGUACCAUGUAAGACCCUUUACAUCACUGCCAUCCCUCCAGCCUUCAAAACUGAGCCAUUCAUUGAAGCUUCCAUCAUUUUUUCCCACAUUAAUAAAAGGUUUUUGAACAUUUUCUACAUUAAAGAGAUCAUGUAAAUACAAACCACUUUUGUUAAAACAGCA